GGGCAGCACCCCCUUUUUGCUGCCUUUCCAGGGAGAGCAGCAAGAGAAAGAAAGAGAGAGGCAAGCGAAAUUCCUGAAUGGAUAGACAGAUGCUACGUCAUCGGAGCUGCAUCCUCCACUCCACAAGAGGCUAGGAGCUGGGGGGAGAGAGGCAGUCCAGCCGCAGGGGCCACCCGAACAGUCUCUCCUCCUCACAGAAGCCUGGAGCUGGGCAUCCAAGAAGAAGCAGCCUCAUUUGUUUUCUGGUGUCAUCGUAGGUGGCCACCUAUGGCUUUUGGGCUUCUCACCUGGGGCGGGUGGGUUCUGCACCACCCUCCCACCCUCCUUCCUCCGUGUGGACGAUAGAGCCACAUCCAGCACCACGGACAGCUCCCGGGCGACCAAAAAGAAGAAUGUACUUCAUCUGGUUGGGCUGGAUUCCCUCUGAUAAGCCUUCCCAGUUGACUGAAAGAUGAGGCUAGGCUCUAGCAAGUUGAAGUCAAACCAGCUCCUUCAAGAAGCUUUGAGCAGAAUGAAGUGGGGAGGACCCAGCUUCCAGCCCAGGAAGCCCACUGUACCUGGAGCCAUCUGGGAUAAGACUUUGACCCAUGACUCCCAUAUCCACAGCCUGUCCAUCCUAGCCCAUCCCAGUUUAUCCUGUAUCAUUUGAGCUGGGAUUCCCACAUCCUCUGAGUUGGAAGUCCCAUCUCAAGUCUUCAAUAAAGACUCUUGAAUAUUGAAUCACA
rnacentral:lncRNA from 1 species